GGGGAUGUGGUGGAACUGGCAGACGCAACAGACUCAAAAUCUGUCGGCCGCAAGGUCAUGCGGGUUCGAUUCCCGCCAUCCCCACCA
rnacentral:tRNA from 1 species